AGCUCCAAUAGCGUAUAUUAAAAUUGCUGCAGUUAAAGCGUCCGUAGUUGGAUUUCGUCCGAUCAGAUUAGAUGCGUGGGUGCCUUGUGUGCUCAACGCUCUUUUCGCUUCGGAUUAUGGGAGUAUUGGGUUUCGGCCUAGUUCUCUCUCGUUACUUUGAGCAAAUUGGAGUGCUCCAACCAAGCCGAUGCUUGAACAGCUCAGCAUGGAAUAACAAGAUAGGACUUUGGUUCUUCUUGCUGGUGUCAUGGACCAAUAGUAAUGGUUGAUAAGGACAUACGGGGGCAUUUGUACUUGCUGGAGAGAGGUGAAAUUCUAAGACCCAGCAAAGACAAACAAGUGCGAAAGCAUUUGCCCAGUGUGUACCUG
rnacentral:rRNA from 1 species